GGGGAGCGAGAUGAUGUAGGACACCGGGCUGCGUCCUCGUGGUGAGCGGCUGAAGGAGCGACCGGGGUGUGUAAGGAGACAGGAGCAGCGGGGACCAGCGCUCAUAAAGAUCCCCCAGUGAGAAGUGCGAGGGGAACUCUGGUGACGGACGGACUGAAUUUACCGGCAGUGCUGCUCCGUGGAUAGGCGAGUGUGGCUGGAGGAGACGGAGCUGCAGGCAGUAGACGGG